rnacentral:rRNA from 1 species
AGAUUGAACGCUGGCGGAAUGCUUUACACAUGCAAGUCGAACGGCAGCACGGGACUCAGGCAACUGAGCCCUGGUGGCGAGUGGCGAACGGGUGAGUAACAUAUCGGAACGUACCCAGUCGUGGGGGAUAACUCUCCGAAAGGAGAGCUAAUACCGCAUACGUCCUGAGGGAGAAAGCGGGGGACCUAAGGGUAACUGAGGGCCUCGCGCGAUUGGAGCGGCCGAUAUCGGAUUAGCUAGUUGGUGAGGUAAAGGCGUCACCAAGGCGACGAUCCGUAGCGGGUCUGAGAGACGACCCGCCACACUGGAACUGAGACACGGUCCAGACUCCUACGGAGGCAGCAGUGGGAUUUUGGACAGUGGGGGCAACCCUGACUCCAGCCAGUUCCGCGUGAGUGAAGAAGGCCUUCGGUUGUAAGUCUCUUUCAG